GAUGAACGCUGGCGGCGCGCCUAACACAUGCAAGUCGAACGAUUAAAGCACCUUCGGGUGUGUAUAAAGUGGCGAACGGCUGAGUAACACGUGGGCAACCUGCCCCUUUCAUUGGGAUAGCCACGGGAAACCGUGGAUAAUACCGAAUACUUCGAGACUUCCGCAUGGAAGACUCGAGAAAGCUCCGGCGGAUAGGGAUGGGCCCGCGGCCUGUUAGCUUGUUGGUGGGGUAACGGCCUACCAAGGCAAUGAUGGGUAGCUGGGUUGAGAGACCGACCAGCCAGAUUGGGACUGAGACACGGCCCAGACUCCUACGGGAGGCAGCAGUGGGGAAUCUUGCACAAUGGGCGAAAGCCUGAUGCAGCGACGCCGCGUGCGGGAUGAAGGCCUUCGGGUUGUAAACCGCUUUCAGCAGGGACGAGGCGAAAGUGACGGUACCUGCAGAAGAAGCCCCGGCUAACUACGUG
rnacentral:rRNA from 1 species